rnacentral:rRNA from 1 species
GCUCAUUCUUGAGAAUUUGACGGUACCAGAUGAAUAAGCACCGGCUAACUCCGUGCCAGCAGCCGCGGUAAUACGGAGGGUGCGGGCGUUAUCCGGAUUCACUGGGUUUAAAGGGUGCGUAGGUGGGUCUGUAAGUCAGUGGUGAAAUCUCCGAGCUUAACUCGGAAACUGCCAUUGAUACUAUAGGUCUUGAAUAUUCUGGAGGUAAGCGGAAUAUGUCAUGUAGCGGUGAAAUGCUUAGAUAUGACAUAGAACACCAAUUGCGAAGGCAGCUUACUACGCGAGUAUUGACACUGAGGCACGAAAGCGUGGGGAUCAAACAGGAUUAGAUACCCUGGUAGUCCACGCCCUAAACGAUGGAUACUCGACAUCAGCGAUACACUGUUGGUGUCUGAGCGAAAGCAUUAAGUAUCCCACCUGGGAAGUACGACCGCAAGGUUGAAACUC